UACGGAGGGUGCGAGCGUUGUCCGGAAUCACUGGGCGUAAAGGGCGCGUAGGCGGCCUGGUAAGUAGGGGGUGAAAUCCUGCGGCUUAACCGCAGGGCUGCCUUCUAAACUGUCAGGCUAGAGCACGGUAGAGGCAGAUGGAAUUCCCGGUGUAGCGGUGGAAUGCGUAGAGAUCGGGAAGAACAUCAGUGGCGAAGGCGGUCUGCUGGGCCGUUGCUGACGCUGAGGCGCCGACAGCGUGGGGAGCAAACAGG
rnacentral:rRNA from 1 species